ACGGAAGGCAGCAGUGGGGAAUAUUGGACAAUGGGGGAAACCCUGAUCCAGCGACGCCGCGUGAGUGAAGAAGUAUUUCGGUAUGUAAAGCUCUAUCAGCAAGGAAGAAAAUGACGGUACUUGACUAAGAAGCCCCGGCUAACUACGUGCCAGCAGCCGCGGUAAUACGUAGGGGGCAAGCGUUGUCCGGAAUGAUUGGGCGUAAAGGGCGCGUAGGCGGCUUGUUAAGUCUGGAGUGAAAGUCCUGCCUUCAAGGUGGGAAUUGCUUUGGAUACUGAUGAGCUUGAGUGCAGGAGAGGUAAGUGGAAUUCCCAGUGUAGCGGUGAAAUGCGUAGAGAUUGGGAGGAGCACCAGUGGCGAAGGCGACUUACUGGACUGUAACUGACGCUGAGGCGCGAAAGUGUGGGGAGCAAACAGGAUUAGAUACCCUGGUA
rnacentral:rRNA from 1 species